rnacentral:SRP_RNA from 1 species
GCCGGGUGCAGUGGUGCGUGCCUGUAGUCCCAGCUACUCAGGAGGCUGAGGUGGGAGUAUCGCUUGAGCCCAGGAGUUCUGGGCUGUAAUGCACUAUGCCGAUCGGGUGUCCGCACUAAGUUCGGCAUCUAUUUGAUGACCUCCCGGGAGCGGGGGACCACCAGGUUGCCUAAGGUGGGGUGAACUGGCCCAGGUCGGAAACGGAGCAGGUCAAAACUCCCGUGCUGAUCAGUAGUGGGAUUGUGCCUGUGAAUAGCCACUGCACUCUAGCCUGGGCAAUGUAGCAAGACCCUGCCUCU